CGUACACAGAUCGUCAGCUGCCUGAAUGAGUGUUUUUUCCAGUCGGUUGCGGUUUCGUCCGGCUACAGCCCAUUGUAACGACCCUCCUGGACCCUCGGUAGACGUCCGCGCCACCUCCUCCACUACAAACUGACCGAGGCCAGAUUAGACAGCAGUCUCUCAUGGUACAGCUUCUCAAGAUGCAGAAACUCCACUGCCCACUGAUCUGAGAUGGUCAAUGCUUAAAGAAAGCAACACCAAUAGCAAUACCAUUCAAAAGUAUGAGUGCACACACCUGGUGUAAGGAAUGAGGGAGGAGCAUGUGAUCAUUCUCUUCAACAAGGGACUGCAGUGAAGCCAGAAGAGAAGGACUAGGUCCAGGUGGCACAAUCCCAGAGAGACGACCUGUACAGAGACCACA